AUUGAACGCUGGCGGCAGGCCUAACACAUGCAAGUCGAGCGAGCGGCGGACGGGUGAGUAAUGUCUGGGAAACUGCCUGAUGGAGGGGGAUAACUACUGGAAACGGUAGCCAAAACCGCAUACCAUCAGAUGGGCCCAGAUGGCAUGAGGUAGUUGGUUGGGUAAUGGCUCACCAAGGCGACGAGCCCUAGCGGGUCUGAGAGGAUGAUCAGCCACACUGGAACUGAGACACGGUCCAGACUCCUACGGGAGGCAGCAGUGGGGAAUAUUGCACAAUGGGCGCAAGCCUGAUGCAGCCAUGCCGCGUGUGUGAAGAAGGCCUUCGGGUUGUAAAGUACUUUCAGCGGGGAGGCGUUACCCGCAGAAGAAGCACCGGCUAACUCCGUGCCAGCAGCCGCGGUAAUUC
rnacentral:rRNA from 1 species